rnacentral:rRNA from 1 species
CCUACGGGAGGCAGCAGUAGGGAAUCUUGGGCAAUGGGCGAAAGCCUGACCCAGCCAUGCCGCGUGAAUGAUGAAGGUCUUAGGAUUGUAAAAUUCUUUCACCGGGGACGAUAAUGACGGUACCCGGAGAAGAAGCCCCGGCUAACUUCGUGCCAGCAGCCGCGGUAAU